AGAGUUUGAUCAUGGCUCAGGACGAACGCUGGCGGCGUGCUUAACACAUGCAAGUCGAACGGUAAGGCCCCAGCUUGCUGGGGUACACGAGUGGCGAACGGGUGAGUAACACGUGGGUGACCUGCCCCGCACUUCGGGAUAAGCCUGGGAAACUGGGUCUAAUACCGGAUAGGACCGCACCGUGAGGGUGUGGUGGAAAGUUUUUCGGUGUGGGAUGGGCCCGCGGCCUAUCAGCUUGUUGGUGGGGUAAUGGCCUACCAAGGCGGCGACGGGUAGCCGGCCUGAGAAGGUGGACGGCCACAUUGGGACUGAGACACGGCCCAGACUCCUACGGGAGGCAGCAGUGGGGAAUAUUGCACAAUGGGCGGAAGCCUGAUGCAGCGACGCCGCGUGGGGGAUGACGGCCUUCGGGUUGUAAACUCCUUUCACCAUCGACGAAGGUUUUCUGACGGUAGAUGGAGAAGAAGCACCGGCUAACUACGUGCCAGCAGCCGCGGUAAUACGUAGGGUGCGAGCGUUGUCCGGAAUUACUGGGCGUAAAGAGCUCGUAGGUGGUUUGUCGCGUCGUCUGUGAAAUUCCGGGGCUUAACUCCGGGCGUGCAGGCGAUACGGGCAUAACUUGAGUACUGUAGGGGAGACUGGAAUUCCUGGUGUAGCGGUGAAAUGCGCAGAUAUCAGGAGGAACACCGGUGGCGAAGGCGGGUCUCUGGGCAGUAACUGACGCUGAGGAGCGAAAGCAUGGGUAGCGAACAGGAUUAGAUACCCUGGUAGUCCAUGCCGUAAACGGUGGGCGCUAGGUGUAGGGGUCUUCCACGACUUCUGUGCCGUAGCUAACGCAUUAAGCGCCCCGCCUGGGGAGUACGGCCGCAAGGCUAAAACUCAAAGGAAUUGACGG
rnacentral:rRNA from 1 species